rnacentral:rRNA from 1 species
UACCUGCAGCUCGAGUGGUAACCGCUAUUAUUGGGCCUAAAGCGUCCGUAGCCGGUUUGGUAAAUAUCUGGGUAAAUCGUGAGGCUUAACUUCACGAAUUUCGGAUAGACUGCCAGACUUGGGAUCGGGGGAGGUCAGAGGUACUCCAGGGGUAGCGGUGAAAUGUUGUAAUCCUUGGAGGACCACCGGUAGCGAAGGCGUCUGACUAGAACGAGUCCGACGGUGAGGGACGAAGCCCUGGGGCGCAAACCGGAUUAGAUACCCGGGUAGUCCAGGGUGUAAACGAUGGGGGCUUUGUAUUGGAGGUCCCACGUGGGCGUCCAGUGCAGAAGAGAAGUUGUUAAGCCCACCGCCUGGGUAGUACGGUCGCAAGGCUGAAACUUAAAGGAAUUGGCGGGGAGCACAGCAACGGGAGGAGCGUGCGGUUU